AUCUUUGUGCAGUGGCAGUAUCUUAGCCAAUGAGGUUUAUCCGAGGCACGAUUAUUGCUAAUUGAAAACUUUUCCCAAAGGAAACAGACUAUAUAUAUGCUCAUAGCAGUACAAUCUAUAAUUUGGAAGCAACCCAGGUG
rfam:Erinaceus europaeus unplaced genomic scaffold scaffold00124, whole genome shotgun sequence